rnacentral:lncRNA from 1 species
AUGGCUUUCAGGAAGUCAUAUGAUUAUUACAUCAUCUCCUUGAUCUGUUCUCCAGGUCAGAUCUUGUUUUUUUUCUUUUUCUUUUUUUCAGUCUUGAUUUUUUUUGUCUCAUAUGAUUUCUGUUCGGUCUCUUGUAGUUUUCAGGGAGUCCGUUUUUUGUUUUUUUUUUUUUUUUUUGUUUUUUUUUUUUUUUUUUUUUUUUUUUUUUUGGGGGGGGGGGGUUCCAAGGUGGUAUUAUCCAAGGAGAGAGGUAUGGUCGCAGCUUUUCUGGUCUGA